rnacentral:lncRNA from 1 species
ACUCAGUGGCACCUUUUCCUUCUGUCUCCUCUUCCAGCCUCGGUUUCAAAGGGCGGAAGCCAAGGACAGACUCUGGAAGGCUGGAGGGCUUGGGUCUGGCUGUUGCGCCUGUGUCUUUGGGGGAAAUGUGCUGCUUAGCCUGGCCGGCUGGAGGGCAGGCAGGAAGUGUGGACGGAUGUCCUUUAUUUCAGGAUCUGAAAAUGAAAAACAGAGAAAGAGAAAAAAGCUCUGGAUAAACAUCACACCAGGACAGUUCUGAACCAACAGCGACAGUGCAGCCAUGGCUUGGCUGGUGUGGACCCGAGUUUCUCCCAGCAACUCCCCCGGGGUCUCCUGGGAGGGGCAGCAGCAGCUUCCCCUGGAAGAAGGAACGCUGGAAGGCAAGAGGACAUCACUGAAGAAAGUACAAAAGGCCAUCAGGACUAAAAGGGGGCAAGGAGAUAGAGCAGGCCUCCAGCCUGGGCCUUCUUUGCUUUCAGUCUUCCUUGUUUCUCCCAUUGUGCUCUUGGUCAGGAUAGGAAAUGGUUGGAAGGGGAAAAUUCUUGUGAAGAAAAAAAGACUGGGGGAGCUGUUUUCUUAGAAAUUUGGAGAGUGCAGGAGAGAUGCCUGAGAUAUUUCUUUUCUUUUUUUAAAGGUUUUAUUUAUUUAUUUGGGGGAGAGAGAGAGCAAGAGAAGGGUGAAGGGCAGAGGGAGAAGCAGACUCCCCACUAAGCAGGGAGCCAGACCCAGGGCUCGAUCCCAGGACGCUGGGAUCAUGACCUGAGCUGCAGGCAGACGCUUAACCGACUGAGCCACCCAGGUGCCCCUCUCUUUUCUCUUUUCUUUAUAGUGUGGGGCUGGGGCAAAGGCCUUGAGGUCCUGGUUGUUUUAAGGGACAGCCACCCCAUGGUUAUUCUCUGUUCAGGCCCACUCACUGCAGGGAAGAUCAGAUGAGAGCUUUGGCAGAGAGGUUAGACGUUCUCUCCAAAGCCAGUGUGUCUGCAGGGCAGUGUCCCAUGAGAACCUUCCCUGUGCUGCUAGGCAGCCGAGGGAGAUGCUUACAGAGCUGAGUAGAGGGAAUAUCUAAGAAACAUUUCCCUCAGCAAGACCAUUUUCCCACUGCAUUAUCCGUGGAUCUAGGGAGCUGGGCUGCCCAAAGCUGGACACACAGAAAGUGCUCAAACCUUGCCAACUGUCAUGAGACCCUGGGCCAUGAGUAAUGUCAGAUAUGGUAGGUGAUCUCAGGGUAAGCAGUUUUAUUUAAUGGCCCUCCAAAUGAAAUCCAUAUUCCUCAUCCAGUGUGAUAAGUGUCUUAACUUUGGGGACAUGUCUCACUGACCAGGGCUGAUUUACUUACACUCAGGCAAUCAACUCUUAGAGGCAGGAAUGGAGAAACGUAGACGUCUGUUUUAAGAAGCAAGUUUCUGAGUUUUUGUUUGUUGCAGUUUUCCUAGCAUGGCAGAUUUCAUGUUCGAAGCUGAAAGUUUCUGAUCUCCAAUGAGGGGCGUCCGUGCUCAGGAUGAUUUUCCAAUGAAGGGGAGUGGACGUGCACACAUUUGCCCUCUUCGGUCUCUGCAUAAGCGUCUGCACUGCUCAGGCAGUCAGCCCCGCCCACAGGUCUUCAAUGAAUAAUAAACUAACUGUACUGUUCUCAGAUCAAAGCAGC